AUCCAGCUGACGAGUCCCAAAUAGGACGAAAAGCGCG
rnacentral:hammerhead_ribozyme from 1 species